UCAGGGUGUUUAUGUCCACCUGUCUGGUC
rnacentral:piRNA from 1 species